rnacentral:lncRNA from 1 species
CAGGUCUGAUUCAGCUUGAGUUUAUUCUAAGGGAAGGCAAAGAGCAACUAUGUUCUUCCAGCUCCCGACCUUCCUAUUUACCUGUAGCUAAGAAUGAACUAUAUAAUUGGAAAUGAAUUAAAAUGUUACCCCCAGUGGCAACACUGUAUCCUAGUAGACACCUCUACAAACCGAGACUCUGUUCGUAAUGAGUGACGCAGGAGUGAGAUCUAUUCAGGCAGUGUUCACAUCUUCAUUUCUAAAGCAGCAAUGGCUGCCCGCUGCUCCUCUCUUAGUUUCUAGUUCUGUACCUCAAGUGCAAUGCUGUCUUUCUGCUCAGACCCCGCCUCAAAUGAUGCAAGCCCAGAGCUGUUCCAGCCUCUGGAGCUACCCCUUAAUAACCGAUCAUUGCUACAGGUACUUCAGGCAACCACAGGGGCAGAGACGGACUGUGCCAAUGUGAAAUCUGCAAGAACAUUCUUUUGAUAACAGAUCUUUCGAUAGAUCUCUUCCAUGCUUCUAAUAUUCAACAAGUGUACAAAGUGAGAUUCAUAUUUGAAAACUCAAGAAAAUAUCAUUGUUUUGAAUCUGAAUUGUAGCAGUCAACAACAACAAAAAAAAAGCC